UAGGGAAUCUUUGGCAAUGGGGGCAACCCUGACCGAGCAACGCCGCGUGAGUGAAGAAGGUUUUCGGAUCGUAAAGCUCUGUUGUAAGAGAAGAACUUGUGUGAGAGUGGAAAGUUCACACAGUGACGGUAACUUACUAGAAAGGGACGGCUAACUACGUGCCAGCAGCCGCGGUAAUACGUAGGUCCCGAGCGUUGUCCGGAUUUAUUGGGCGUACAGCGAGCGCAGGCGGUUUAAUAAGUCUGAAGUUAAAGGCAGUGGCUUAACCAUUGUUCGCUUUCGAAACUGAUAACUUGAGUGCAGAACGGGAGAGUGGAAUUCCAUGUGUAGCGGUGAAAUGCGUAGAUAUAUGGAGGAACACCGGUGGCGAAAGCGGGGCUCUGGUCUGUAACUGACGCUGAGGCUCGAAAGCGUGGGGAGCAAACAGG
rnacentral:rRNA from 1 species